UCUAAAAAGACCCUGUUUCUGAAGAGAUAUGACCAGAAUGUAAUCAUUCUGAAGUACGGGGGUUAGGACUUCAAUGUCAUUUUUAGGGAGGAAAACUGAACCCGUAACAAAACAUAAGCCUUAGUAACCGGAGAUGGAACUCACAGCUGAGCCACCAUUUCUUAAACCCUUAUUUUCUCAGAGGAAUUAAAAAGUCUGGGAUAAGUGAUAUUUCUCCGGAAAGCAAAUUUUUCCUCGCCAUGAUAUAACCUGCAGUGGGCCAGACUCACAGCCUGGGAGGACAGACCAGACUUCCCCAAAACUAAAACCACUCUGGAGCUGCAGCAGUCUUCGUUUGAUGAGGACAAACCACAGACCCCAUCAGGAAAGCUGGGGAGGGGACGGAGAAGGAGGCUAGCAGAGCCUCUGAUCAUACUCUGGGUGCCCGUGGGCCACUGACAGACACCCUGUCCAUCAAAACUGCUCACCCCAAGAAAAUGAUCAAUGACAAGCAGCCCGUGGUGAGAUCCUGCAACCGCAAAAUGAUUACAGCUCUGAAGCUGAAUUAAAAAGAAGUAAAACCAUAAUGAGCAGCCAAGAGGAUGUCCCCAGGGGUCCAGAUGACAGAAUGAAGCAUGCAUGUUGGGAAGAUGAUCAGAACAGGCACCCGGGCCCCUGUGGGGUCAAGGGCUUUGCUCUCCCCUACAUGGGAGCUCUGCAGGCUGUUCUUCCCACUGCACAGGGAGCCUGGGUUUGCAACCUGUCUCCCCUCCAGGCCUGCGCAACACUAUCAAGACCAGCAGCCUCCAUCAGCAGGAUUCUUUUUGUUCUCUCUUUCUUCUUCCAUUUAUCCACAAGCCUGACUGAGAGCCCAUGUUAUGCGCAGCUGCCAAGAGUCCAAACCAAGGAGUUAUUCUGCCCAGAUUCUGGAAUCCGGCCAGAUGUGGUACAGAAUCCCAACCCUACUACUCACCUGCUCUGUGACCUCAAGCAGUGAUUCAGCAUUUUCUUCACCACAUUUUCCUGUUCAGCAAAAUGGAGACCAUAAUGCCUACUUCACAGGGUCUGUGAAGAAUUAAAUGAUCUACUUUAUGAAGAUGACUAACAGUUCCACGUACAUAAUGAGUAUUUGAUAAAUGCUAGCUAUCAUUGGAUUCAUUUUGUUCUCACAAGUUAUUAAUUAUUUGGACAUAUGGACAAGCAGGAGAGGAAAAUCAUGUUCAUUUACCCACCACUCUGAUAGUGCAAAAUCAAACAACACUGAUCCUGUUCCCUGGAGAUGAGUCAUAUAGCCAGAAUCUGUUAGCAACUGGUAAUGUCCUCUCCCUUUGCCUGCAUUUGGGACAUGCCAGCAUUAUGCAAGCCAACAGUGCCUUGCUGAUGUCUGUGUGGCUUUCCUAAUCGUUUUGGUAUGGUUAAGAGUAGAAAAUAAUCACAUACUUUUCUAUUCUAUUAUCCUUUUACAAACAAAAUUGAGAUAUGUAAACAUGAGAUCUUAAAAAAAGUGGGUUUAAUAGUUUCACCGAAGAAUAUAUUGAAACAAUGCAAGUAGAAUAAGGUUUAAAGAAACAGGCUGGGCGCAGUGGCUCACUCCGGUAAUCCCAGCACUUCGGGAGGCCGAGGGGGGGCGGAUCACGAGUUCAGGAGUUCAAGACCAGUCUGACCAACAUGGUGAAACCUCAUCUCUACUAAAAAUAAAAAAAUAGCUGGGCGUGGUGGCACAUGCCUGUAAUCCCAGCUACUCAGGAGGUUGAGGCAGGAGGAAUCGUU
ensembl:lincRNA